rnacentral:rRNA from 1 species
GACAGAGGUCCCGAGCGUUGUUCGGAUUCAUUGGGCGUAAAGGGUGUGUAGGAGGCCAGGUAAGUCAGGUGUGAAAUCUCAGAGCUUAACUCUGAAACUGCGCUUGAUACUGCUUGGCUAGAGGAUCGGAGAGGGUAACGGAAUUUAUGGUGUAGCAGUGAAAUGCGUAGAUAUCAUAAGGAACACCGGUGGCGAAGGCGGUUACCUGGAAGAUUCCUGACUCUGAAACACGAAAGCCAGGGGAGCAAACGGG